GGAAGCUAUUCUUGGCCGGUGCCGGGCAUGGUCUUCAAAACCAGCGUGCGGUCUCAACGCCGCAGGUGGGUUCGACCCCCACUAGCUUCCGCCA
rnacentral:tRNA from 1 species